AUUGAGUCAAUUACUGUAUCUACUCAAUUAUCUCCAAGCUGAAAAGUUACUUUUUGUACAUUUUUAUAACUCUGUGAGUUAACAUCGCACAUACAUAAAACUUAAAUUAUUUUAACCAGUAUAACUUGGGGACAAACAUAUCCAAAAUUCACUUGAAUAGGUUCAGGGGUUUAACGGUUAGGUCGAAGUCCUUUGUUUUUACUUGCAAGCAUGAUUUUUCCUGGCAAACCAGUUCCCACUGGUUUGGCAGUGUCCCUGGGACAACACCCUGCUGGAGAACAAUGUAUCCGGGGGAGGGGAAGAAGAAGUGUCCAAAAAGUUUCAGUAAGUCCAUUCACUGUGCUUAAAGAGCCAGUAGCCGCACAAUAAAAUACAAUAUGCCCAAAUAUUGCAUUCAAAAGUACAACUUUACCAGGGGCCAUAGUCAGCAGGAAGGAGGCGGGCAGCCAGGCCUCUCCAAUGCCAGGUGGCGAGGCGGGUUCCGCCACAGUGACCACUAAGCAGAUGUCUAAAAUUAAUUCCUCCAAAAUCCCCAAGGUAAACAGUGCCGCACCCUGAGGUAAUAGUGACUGAUAGCAUGCAUCCCCAAGACUUUUUUUUUGGCAUGCUCAUUUUUUUGUGAUCACUUUUUGAUCACAGGGGGAGGUUGAAAGA